GUGCUCGCUUCAGUGGCAUAUACAUUAAAAUUGGAACAAUACUGAGACGGUGAGCACGGCCCCUGCAUAAGGUGCAAAUUCGUGAAGCAUUCUGUAUUUUA
rnacentral:snRNA from 1 species